UUGAUUGAUUCAAACUAAUACUCCGACGCAGAGACGCAGGGUUUUGGUUGGUGUCCUCUGGGGCGCCGGCGAGGGCCACCCCGAGGCAACGCGGUACGGUUCACAAAGGGUUGGAGGUCGGGCGUGAACCCUCUCUCGGUAAUGAUCCCUCCGCAGGUUCACCUACGGAGA
rnacentral:misc_RNA from 1 species